rnacentral:pre_miRNA from 1 species
AAAACAUGCCGUCGAUCUACCGAGCAAUAUCACCCGCUCGGUCGAAAAAUCUUACCUUUGUCAU